AGGAGAGCCACUGAAGCAAUUAAAGGAAGAGAGGAGAGCAGAAGAGGAACAGGGAAGCAGCCAAGGACACCCGGGGGAGCCAGGAAGAAGAGCUUGAGACAUGGCUGGGAAGACGAGGCAACUAGAACAGUUGCUGAACAUAAUCAUAAUUCACUCAGGGGAUGGAGUAAUCUGACGUUACAUUUAUCCUGGGAUUGGAGACGAGCCAUUGCAAGCCCAGCAAAAUGGCUUUUGUGUAUCCAACGCAGCAAAAAAAAAAUAUGAUCUAUGUUGCUCAGCCUUGCCCUGGAAUUAGGGUGCAACUGCACUAUUUUCAAGGAAGUUACAACGAAAGCUUGGAUCACCUUACACUUCAUUUUAUGCCCUGGGAACAAGAUUGAGCUGAGUGAAAAAUAGCUGGCCCAGUAGCUGG